UGGCAGACGGGUGAGUAACGCGUGGGAACAUACCUUUUGGUUCGGAACAACACAGGGAAACUUGUGCUAAUACCGAAUAAGCCCUUACGGGGAAAGAUUUAUCGCCGAAAGAUUGGCCCGCGUCUGAUUAGCUAGUUGGUGAGGUAACGGCUCACCAAGGCUACGAUCAGUAGCUGGUCUGAGAGGAUGAUCAGCCACACUGGGACUGAGACACGGCCCAG
rnacentral:rRNA from 1 species